CCUACGGGAGGCAGCAGUGGGGAAUAUUGGACAAUGGGGGCAACCCUGAUCCAGCCACGCCGCGUGUGUGAAGAAGGCCCUCGGGUUGUAAAGCACUUUCAGGGAGGAAGAACGCCUGGUGGUUAAUACCCAUCAGGAAAGACAUCACUCACAGAAGAAGCACCGGCUAACUCCGUGCCAGCAGCCGCGGUAAUACGGAGGGUGCGAGCGUUAAUCGGAAUUACUGGGCGUAAAGCGCGCGUAGGUGGCUUGAUAAGCCGGUUGUGAAAGCCCCGGGCUCAACCUGGGAACGGCAUCCGGAACUGUCAAGCUAGAGUGCAGGAGAGGAAGGUAGAAUUCCCGGUGUAGCGGUGAAAUGCGUAGAGAUCGGGAGGAAUACCAGUGGCGAAGGCGGCCUUCUGGACUGACACUGACACUGAGGUGCGAAAGCGUGGGUAGCAAACAGGAUUAGAUACCCGAGUAGUC
rnacentral:rRNA from 1 species